UACGUAGGGGGCAAGCGUUGUCCGGAUUUAUUGGGCGUAAAGAGCGUGUAGGCGGUCCGGUAAGUCCGCUGUGAAAGUCGGGGGCUCAACCCUCGAAUGCCGGUGGAUACUGUCGGGCUAGAGUGCGGAAGAGGCGAGUGGAAUUCCUGGUGUAGCGGUGAAAUGCGCAGAUAUCAGGAGGAACACCUAUUGCGAAGGCAGCUCGCUGGGACGUUACUGACGCUGAGACGCGAAGGCGUGGGGAGCAAACAGG
rnacentral:rRNA from 1 species